AGUGAACGCUGGCGGUAGGCCUAACACAUGCAAGUCGAACGGCAGCACAGUAAGAGCUUGCUCUUACGGGUGGCGAGUGGCGGACGGGUGAGGAAUACAUCGGAAUCUACUUUUUCGUGGGGGAUAACGUAGGGAAACUUACGCUAAUACCGCAUACGACCUACGGGUGAAAGCAGGGGAUCUUCGGACCUUGCGCGAUUGAAUGAGCCGAUGUCGGAUUAGCUAGUUGGCGGGGUAAAGGCCCACCAAGGCGACGAUCCGUAGCUGGUCUGAGAGGAUGAUCAGACACACUGGAACUGAGGCACGGUCCAGACUCCUACGGGAGGCAGCAGUGGGGAAUAUUGGACAAUGGGCGCAAGCCUGAUCCAGCCAUACCGCGUGGGUGAAGAAGGCCUUCGGGUUGUAAAGCCCUUUUGUUGGGAAAGAAAAGCAGCAGGUUAAUACCCCGCUGUUCUGACGGUACCCAAAGAAUAAGCACCGGCUAACUUCGUG
rnacentral:rRNA from 1 species